rnacentral:rRNA from 1 species
AGUGAACGCUGGCGGUAGGCCUAACACAUGCAAGUCGAACGGCAGCACGGUAAGAGCUUGCUCUUACGGGUGGCGAGUGGCGGACGGGUGAGGAAUACAUCGGAAUCUACUUUUUCGUGGGGGAUAACGUAGGGAAACUUACGCUAAUACCGCAUACGACCUACGGGUGAAAGCAGGGGAUCUUCGCACCUUGCGCGAUUCAAUGAGCCGAUGUCGGAUUAGCUAGUUGGCGGGGUAAAGGCCCACCAAGGCGACGAUCCGUAGCUGGUCUGAGAGGAUGAUCAGCCACACUGGAACUGAGACACGGUCCAGACUCCUACGGGAGGCAGCAGUGGGGAAUAUUGGACAAUGGGCGCAAGCCUGAUCCAGCCAUACCGCGUGGGUGAAGAAGGCCUUCGGGUUGUAAAGCCCUUUUGUUGGGAAAGAAAAGCAGCAGGUGAAUACCCCGCUGUUCUGACGGUACCCAAAGAAUAAGCACCGGCUAACUUCGUG